rnacentral:ncRNA from 1 species
GGUGUCGUUCCAGAUUGUUCUGCGAACGAUGAAAAGGGAAUUUGGUGAAAACCCAAAGCAGCUUCGACCUACUGUGAGGGAGACGAAAGCGCGUUGCAGCCAUUGGCCGCGAGGCCGAGAAGGCGCGCAAGUAGAAUGAUCCCGAGCCAGGAGACCUGCCUUAGACGA